GCCUGACUAGCUCAAUUGGUCAGAGCGUGGGACUCUUAAUCUCAAGGCUCCGGGUUCGAGCCCCGGGUUGGGCU
rfam:Plasmodiophora brassicae isolate e3 genome assembly, contig: scaffold_27